CACAAGGUUUUUUUCAAAACCAUCCUUUACCAUUUUACUAUUUGU
rfam:Capsicum annuum cultivar Zunla-1 chromosome 5, whole genome shotgun sequence